AGAGUUUGAUCCUGGCUCAGGACGAACUUCUGGCGGCGUGCCUAAUACAUGCAAGUCGAACGCACUCUCGUUUAGAUUGAAGGAGCUUGCUCCUGAUUGAUAAACAUUUGAGUGAGUGGCGGACGGGUGAGUAACACGUGGGUAACCUGCCCUAAAGUGGGGGAUAACAUUUGGAAACAGAUGCUAAUACCGCAUAAAACCUAACACCGCAUGGUGUAGGGUUGAAAGAUGGUUUCGGCUAUCACUUUAGGAUGGACCCGCGGUGCAUUAGUUAGUUGGUGAGGUAAAGGCUCACCAAGACCGUGAUGCAUAGCCGACCUGAGAGGGUAAUCGGCCACACUGGGACUGAGACACGGCCCAGACUCCUACGGGAGGCAGCAGUAGGGAAUCUUCCACAAUGGACGAAAGUCUGAUGGAGCAACGCCGCGUGAGUGAAGAAGGUUUUCGGAUCGUAAAACUCUGUUGUUGGAGAAGAAUGUAUCUGAUAGUAACUGAUCAGGUAGUGACGGUAUCCAACCAGAAAGCCACGGCUAACUACGUGCCAGCAGCCGCGGUAAUACGUAGGUGGCAAGCGUUGUCCGGAUUUAUUGGGCGUAAAGCGAGCGCAGGCGGUUUCUUAAGUCUGAUGUGAAAGCCUUCGGCUCAACCGAAGAAGUGCAUCGGAAACUGGGAAACUUGAGUGCAGAAGAGGACAGUGGAACUCCAUGUGUAGCGGUGAAAUGCGUAGAUAUAUGGAAGAACACCAGUGGCGAAGGCGGCUGUCUGGUCUGUAACUGACGCUGAGGCUCGAAAGCAUGGGUAGCAAACAGGAUUAGAUACCCUGGUAGUCCAUGCCGUAAACGAUGAGUGCUAGGUGUUGGAGGGUUUCCGCCCUUCAGUGCCGCAGCUAACGCAUUAAGCACUCCGCCUGGGGAGUACGACCGCAAGGUUGAAACUCAAAGGAAUUGACGGGGGCCCGCACAAGCAGCGGAGCAUGUGGCUUAAUUCGAAGCAACGCGAAGAACCUUACCAGGGCUUGACAU
rnacentral:rRNA from 1 species